CUAUGACUCUCUUAAGGUAUCCAAAUUCCUUGCCAUCUAAUUAGUGAUGCACAUGAAUGGAUUAACUAGAUUCCCACUAUCCCUAUAUACUAUCUAGUGAAACCACAACCAAGGGAAUGGGCUUGGAAUAAUCAACAGGGAAAGAAGACCUUGUUGAGAUUGACUCUAGUUGGACUUUUUGAAAUGAAUUGAGAGUUGUAGAAUAAGUGGGAAUUGUUUUCAGCACAAAUGAAAUACCACUACUUUUAACAUUACUUUACUUAUAAUUUUGUGGGGUGGAGACGAGGCAGUUACCCUAUUUUUGGCCUGAAGUCAUGUUUCGAUGGGUCGAUCUGGGAGGAAGACAUUUCCAGGUGGGGAUUUUGUAUGGCGAAACACAUCUAUUAAAAUAUAACAUAAAAUAUAAUUGUUGUAUAUAGAACAUUUGUAUUUGGGAGAUCCUAGUGCACAACCACCCUUAUUACCUUCCCCUCCUAAUUUGUAGUUUGU
rnacentral:ncRNA from 1 species